CCGAGUGUAGCUCAGUUGGUAGAGCGAUUGACUGUAGUGUUCUAUACUGUGUCUUAGUAUACUCGGAAAUCAAUUGGUCGCUGGUUCGAUUCCGGCCACUCGGA
rnacentral:tRNA from 2 species